rnacentral:lncRNA from 1 species
CAGGGACCUGGGUCAAACCGGAAAGGGACAUCAGAAGGUCACCUGUCUGGCAGGAUGCUCCGAACCCCUGGGCCUGAAGGAUGGCACCAUCCCCGACAGGCAGAUCACAGCCUCCAGCAGCUAUAAGAUGUGGGGCCUUGAGGAGCCUUCAGCUGGUCGCCUCUUCUUGAGAGGCUGGACAAUCAGGGCAAGUUCAACGCCUGGACAGCACAGAGCAACUCUCCCAAUGCCUCUGAGUGGCUGCAGGUUGACCUGGGCUCCCAGAAGCAGGUGGAGGGGAUCAUCACCCAAGGCGCCGUGACUUUGGCCACAUCCAGUGCGUGGCUUCCUACAAGGUGGCCUACAGCAACAAUGGUGUCAACUGGGUUGAGUACAAGGAGCCAGGGGCUGUGGACAGCAAGAUCUUCCAAGGCAACUUGGACAACAACUCCCACAAGAAGAAUGUGUUUGAGACGCCCUUCUUGGCUCGCUAUGUGCGCGUGCUGCCUGUGUCCUGGCAAAACCGCAUCACCCUGCGCCUGGAGCUGCUGGGCUGCUAGCAUUUGCCCCGCGGGUCAGACCUGAGGGACCUAAGUGACCACAGGGCUGCCUCUCCACACCCUGCCUCCUGCCUGCUGCAGCCCCUUGUUCCCCUUCGGGCCUUAGAGGAGGCACCCAAGGCUGCCAUCGUCCCUCCCCUUUCCUUCCAGCUCUACAGGCCUCCCCUUCCCAGGGCCUUCGAGGGUCGGUCUGGGAUUCACUGGGAUGCACGCUGAGUCAGGUGUGUGGCUUUUCGGCACCUCCACGGAUCCCAGGCCCCCAGCUCUGGGUUGACUCUAGAGGGGCCUCUGGGCUUCCCAAGCCCCUUGCUGCAGCACCCCACAUUCCCGAGUCCCCAGAUGGAGGCCCGUGUCCCCAGACAGCAGAGUCCUCCCACCCCCAGGUGCCGGGCCAGCGAUUGCAGCCCGGGGCAGAUGCUGCCAGCCAGCUCUGCGCCUCCCCGACGCGUCUCCUUAUCUCGCCAGAGACCCCUCUUGACCCUGUCCCUAGGAAGAAGACGGAGGGGGUGCUGGGUCUGUGGAGAGACAGGAGACUGGAGCCAGCCUGGCGGUGAGCGGGAGGCUGGCUGGGUGGGCAGGGGUCUCUGUGCUGUCCCCUCACCCAGGCCACGGGCAGCUUCCCAAAUAUAUUUGUAUUCACCACUGGAA